GACGAACGCUGGCGGCGUGCUUAACACAUGCAAGUCGAGCGGAAAGGCCCUGCUUUUGUGGGGUGCUCGAGUGGCGAACGGGUGAGUAACACGUGAGUAACCUGCCCUUGACUUUGGGAUAACUUCAGGAAACUGGGGCUAAUACCGGAUAGGAGCUCCUGCUGCAUGGCGGGGGUUGGAAAGUUUCGGCGGUUGGGGAUGGACUCGCGGCUUAUCAGCUUGUUGGUGGGGUAGUGGCUUACCAAGGCUUUGACGGGUAGCCGGCCUGAGAGGGUGACCGGCCACAUUGGGACUGAGAUACGGCCCAGACUCCUACGGGAGGCAGCAGUGGGGAAUAUUGCACAAUGGGCGGAAGCCUGAUGCAGCAACGCCGCGUGCGGGAUGACGGCCUUCGGGUUGUAAACCGCUUUCGCCUGUGACGAAGCGUGAGUGACGGUAAUGGGUAAAGAAGCACCGGCUAACUACGUG
rnacentral:rRNA from 1 species